GGAGCCUGAGAAACGGCUACCACUUCUAAGGAAGGCAGCAGGCGCGCAAAUUACCCAAUGAAAACAGUUUCGAGGUAGUGACUAGAAAUAACAAUGCAGGGCAUUUUAUGCUUUGCAAUUGGAAUGAUGGGAAUCCAAACCCCUUUCAGAGUAACAAUUGGAGGGCAAGUCUGGUGCCAGCAGCCGCGGUAAUUCCAGCUCCAAUAGCGUAUAUUAGAGUUGUUGCAGUUAAAAAGCUCGUAGUUGGAUUUCUGUUGGGAGUAGCCGGUCCGCUCUUCGGAGUGUGCACCUGGUGAAUCUCGGCAUUUUCCCGGUAGCGCUUUCGCGUACUUUACCGUUCGUGUGGCGUGUUUCUGGGACUUUUACUUUGAGAAAAAUAGAGUGUUUCAAGCAGGCUUAUGCCUUGAAUACUGCAGCAUGGAAUAAUAAGAUAGGACUUUGGUUCUAUUUUGUUGGUUCAUAGGACUAAAGUAAUGAUUAAUAGGAACAGUUGGGGGCAUUCGUA
rnacentral:rRNA from 1 species